UACGUAGGGGGGCAAGCGUUGUCCGGAAUCAUUGGGCGUAAAGCGCGUGUAGGCGGUUACGUAAGUCUGCUGUGAAAGUCGGAGGCUCAACCUUCGAAAGCCGGUGGAUACUGCGUGACUAGAGUACGGAAGAGGAGAGUGGAAUUCCUGGUGUAGCGGUGAAAUGCGCAGAUAUCGGGAGGAACACCAGUGGCGAAGGCGGCACUCUGGGCCGGAACUGACGCUGAGGAGCGAAAGCGUGGGGAGCGAACAGG
rnacentral:rRNA from 1 species